CGCAGCCUCUGGUCCCGCGGGGGUUUGGGGGGGGUGCACCGGGGAAGGCGGGGGACCCGGGACUUCCAAGUGUCCUCCUGCAUCUCACCUUCCAAGUCAUCUCAGCACGCGGAGCUGAGCUCCCCGUGUUAAACGGUGACUUCUCAGCAGCUGCCUGUUUACACACGGGAGUAAGCUGCUUCCACUUGAGCUUACUGGGGAUUUUGACCUCUGAGAUCCAGGACUAUGCACGGCUGACAUCUGACAGCGACGUCUCCUUGACAUUCCAUGUCCCUGGUGCUCCACAGCCUCGCCCAAGCUCUGGCUCUACAUGACACUGUUUCUAUUAAUUUUUCAAAUAACAAAAUGAAUGUUGAUUAGUCCCUGUUGAGUGUUCCCUGUGUAGGAAAUAUAACUUACAUGUACUUGCUUAUUUUUCCCUGCACAAAACCCUAUGAAGUAUCAUCAUUCCUGUUUUAUAUACAAGGAAACCAAAAACAUGGAGAUGCUAAAAUAAAUAUCCCAAGAUGUCUCAUCUAGGAAAUGCCAGAUCCUGGAGUUGGACCUGCCGGGGUGAUCUGAUUCUCAACUAUUGGUGUCUACAUUUCAAUUGGAUACUUCUUCAAAGGCAAUUCUGUCCAUAUGACUCAUAAAAAAAGUUCACAGCUGGUUUUCCUACCAGCUACAUCAGAGACUCCCUAACUUCAGCCUAAUCAUAGCCCAUGGAAUCUGAAACUAUGAGUCAGCAGAGGUCAAGAAUUUUCAGGGUAGCUGUCCAACGGGAGAAUUUCAAAUAUCAAGCUCCAAGACUGCUCAUUCUCAGAGUGGUCUUUUUAAAAUUUCAUGCAGUUAAAACGUUGUUAUUUGCGUGCUGGGCCUGCUGGGUCUUGGUUGCCGUGAGGACUUUCUCCAGCUACGGUGUCUGUUUCGGCCGGAGGCGUCCCUUCAUAGUGGCUUCUCUCGCAGCAGAGCAUGGGCUCUAGAGAGCAGAUGUCAGUGGUUGUGGCACAUGGGCUCAGCCGCCUUAGGGCAUGUGGCAUCUCCCUGGCCCAGGUAUUGGACCUGUGUUCUCUGCAUUGGCAGGUGGACUCUUAACCACCGGACCUGCAGGGAAACCCUCAGCAAGGCCUUUUAAGUGACGGAUUCAUUGAUCAAUUCAUUCCACAGAUAUUUAUCCAGCCCCUGUAUCUCUUGUGUGCUGAAUACAGUUCUAGAUGCCGAAAAUAGAGCUAUGAUUAAAUUAAUCAAUGACUCAGUGCUCAUAGAGCAUACAUUCUAGCAGGGCAGAUAGAUCAUGAAGAAACAGAUAUAUAUAAUGGAUAAGAUGCCAGGAAUUAAAAUCUAGACCUAGAGGGUGUGGUGUGUUAGGUGGUGUGUGUGUGGGGGCGGAUAAGUCCCUUCAGUCGUGUCCGACUCUUUGCAACCUAUGGACUACCGGCCACCGGGCUCCU